CAAGUACUUCCUCUGUCCGGAAUUAGUUGUCAUCAAAAUGGAUGUGUCUAGAACUAAAAUACAUCUAGAUACAUCCAUUUCAAUGACAAGUAUUUUCGGAUGGAGGGAGUACAAG
rfam:Triticum urartu cultivar G1812 contig488958, whole genome shotgun sequence.